CAACUGCAGGCUCAUCCUCUCUAGACCUGGAUCCCUACUCAGAAUGUUUGCGCUUAUCAGGGCGAUAAGAGGAGGUCUCUCAGUGUCCAGGCUCUGUGCCCGUAUGUCAGAAAGAAGGCAUAUUUUUUGGCUUUUGAAGAUCUUCUGCUUCUAACAGAUGAGGAAACUGAAACCCACAGAGAUUAAGUAACAUCCUCAAGAUCAAAAAGGUAACAAACAAUGGAGGCAGAAUUCAGACAUUGUUCUUCAUGAUGCCAAAGCCUGUGCUCGUGGAAUUACAGUCAGAGUACAACAGCUCGAGAGCAAAGCAUCACAUCGAAGUCAAGGAAAAUCAGUACAGAGGUUUGGACAAACAGCGUCAACUCCCGGUAUCUGGGUCAGCAGAAAUGGCCCCAUUGAGCAGCACUGAGAUUGCAGGAUCACACGUCACAGGCUGCUUCCUCUUUGGUUCUGAGCAUUGGCCUCAUGUCCACUCAAAGUAAAUGGCCCCUCUGACUGGAAUCAGAGGUGUCUGAGCCAUCUCACAGAGCCAAACAAAUAUGACUUGCUGUUACAAAGCCUUUCGGGAAUUAUUCCCAGUGUAAUAAACAUAUGAUCAUAUAGCAAGUUUUGGACUUUAGAUAAAGUCCAAAAACAAGGGAAUGUGGAGUAUCUAAGACAAAAGAUUAGAAUGUAAAUGAAAAGCCAAAUAAACUGGGGCACACUAUAGGAUAGAGCCCUGUGUGUGAUGGCCUGUUUAUGAUGAGCCAUAGAAAAGGAUGGUGAAUUCUGGAUAAUAAGAAAUGUCAAUGAGAUGGAAAGAACCACCUGUUUUAUGUAAAACUCCAAAUAACCAGAUCACACUGGACAGCCACUCAAAUAAUGCCUUCAUAAUACAGAGUAUUACUGAGAAUAACUCAAUUCACAGGGAGUUUAAGGCAGCCAAUAUUUGAUAGCCUGUCAGAAAAAAACAGAACGGUAAUUACAGAAAAGAAUCAAAUCCUCGGAAAAACAAAAAUUAAUCAAACUAAGUUUGUAAAGCCUAUGUUACAGACACAUUGUCUGGACUGGUCCUCUCAAAAGUACUUUUUUUCAAAAUUGUAUGCCAAUUUACUGAGUUAAUUUAAUGAUUUUUGUCUGAUUACUUCAAAACUGGAAAUACUCUAUGACUCAUAACAUCUUACAACCUUUCUACUUUCUUAAAGAAUCUCAAUUUUAUAAUGACAGGAUUAUUUUUCAAAAAUUGAACAAUAAUGUAAUGAUUUCUGUGUGGAUUGUAGAAAAAUCAACCUUAUGACAACUGCAACAGCUGCAUGAAGAAAUCUGAGUAAUUCCAAUCAACUUGAGAUCAUGUCUAAUCAAACACAAAUACAACUGAUAAAUUUCAUUAGUGUGGGGAUUAAACUAACAUACAAUUAUGUAAUAAAAUCCUUUAGAAGUACUAAAAUGUUAGCAUAGUUCAGAUAUACAGAAAAAUUUCAAAGAUAUACAGAAGUCCCAUUUUUCCCUAUUACUAACAACUCCUAUUUGUCACAAUUAAUGAAUAAUCAAUAUACAGUAUUAUUAACUAAAGCCCAUACUUCAUUGGAUUUGCUUCGUUUUGAGCUAACAUUCUUUUCCUAUGUUCCAGGGUUCCAUGCAGGCUACCACAUUAUUUAUUUGUCAUUUUAGGCAUGUCUUGGCUGUGAGUUUCUCAGACUUCCUUGUUUUUGAUGACCCUGACAGUUGGAGGGAGAACUCGUCAGUUAUUUUCGUAGAAUGCCCUAAAUUUGAGUCUGGCUGAUGUUUUUCUUAGGGUUUGACUGAGGUUACGGAUUUUGGGAAGGAAGACCACAGAGGUAAAGUACCAUUCUCACGAAAUGAUCUUAAAAUACAUACCCUCAGCUUGCCUUAUACUAUUAGUGUGAGCCUUCAUCACCCGGCUGUUUGUCACGUUUCUCCACUGUAAAGUUACUCUUCUCAUCACCCACUUUUCUGUACUGUACUCUUUGGAAGAAAGUCACUAUAUGCAUCCCAAACUUAAGGAGUGGGAAGUUCUGUUCUACCCACUUGUGAGCAGAAUAUCGACAUAAAUUGUUUUGCAUUCUGCUGCAUGGGAAAAUUAUCCCACUCUCCCAUUUAUUUGAUCAUGUUUCUUAUCAGUAUGGGCUCAUGGGUAUUUCUUUUAUACCUUGGGUUAUAAUCCAAUACUAACACAACAAAUUUUUUAUGGAGAU